AGGCCGCCGCCUCUCGCCGGAGACCUGCCGGAGUGAUGGGCUGCAUCGGAUCCCGGACCGUGGGAAACGAGGUCAUUGCAGUAGACUGGAAAGGACUGAAAGAUGUGGACCAAAUCAAUAUGGACAGCACCAGUUCUCUGCAUGGCAGCAGCUUCCAUCGACCUUCCACUGAGCAAACACGGACAGAUUUUUCUUGGGAUGGUAUUAAUCUCUCCAUGGAAGAUACGACCUCUAUCCUACCCAAGCUGAAACGUAACUCCAAUGCUUAUGGAAUUGGGGCUUUGGCUAAAUCAUCUUUCUCUGGGAUAUCCCGCAGCAUGAAGGACCAUGUCACAAAGCCAACAGCUAUGGGCCAAGGCCGUGUAGCUCACAUGAUUGAAUGGCAAGGCUGGGGUAAAGCUAACAGCCAGCAGCAGCAGCACACACAUGAGACGGCACGCAAAGAUGCUGAUGCCUACUCAGACCUGAGUGACGGCGAAAAGGAGGCCCGUUUCCUUGCAGGAGUGAUGGAGCAAUUUGCCAUUUCUGAGGCAACUCUCAUGGCCUGGUCCUCAAUGGAUGGUGAGGAUGUGAGUGUAAAUUCAAAUCAGGAUAAUCCAGCAGGCAACUAUUCUGAUAACUAUCAGGAGCUAAUGGAGAGCCAAGAGCACAUGGCCCAGACACAGUAUGAUAGCUGGCCUCAUUCCUAUGUCUCACAAGGCAUGUAUUGCUUAGGUUCAUCUGAUGCCUGGGAGACCAGUGAUCAGUCCCUCAUUGCUUCCCCUGCAACUGGCUCAUACUUAGGCCAGAAUUUUGAUGACUCCCAGACAAACCUUCAGGAAAGCAUUUUGAUUCAGAGCAGUCUCAUCCAGCAGCAACAGCUGCAGCAACAGCGACAGCAGCAGAACUUCAUCCAGAGCACAGGGCUGGUCCAUGUGUGGCCCCUGCAAACUGCUCAGAGUGGGGCUGAGUCCAGCACCUAUAUGGAGGACCAUGUUGAGGACGAAGGGAAUCCACGUCUGGAGAAGGCUCCUCUCCUGAACAAGAAGCCCUCUCCAGAGGAGGAUGAUGCAGUGUGCCGGGACCUAGAAUCACUGUCUCCUAGGGAGGAGUUGGAGCAUGCUGCACUGAGCCGCAAAGUCUCAGAUGUCACCUCUUCUGGGGUGCAGUCCUUUGAUGAGGAAGAGGGAGAAACAAACAACUGAUGCUUUCUGUGAAGUUCUCAUCACUGCUAAACAAAGAAAGGGGUGGAAAGGAAUGAAAUGGCAGGGAUUCUUCUCUCCAGCUUCCCAGACUUCCAAGCAAACACACCUUCCAUUCCUGACAUAUAUUUUUUAAAUAAGAGGAAAAUUGAAAGUGGUUGACAGAUGAAGACCUCUUCUUCCCCUUCACCAUGGACACGUAUUUCCAAGUAUCAUUGCUCUGGGCAACACACAUGAGGUGCUUGGAGAAAUCUGGAUUGGUAAAUCAUUUCUAAAUCUUUUUAAUACAAAGCUUUGGCUCUGGAUACAAACUCUUUUGGUACUGGAGAUGUGGCUGAUGAGACAGGCUUGUUAUGGGGYGUGACUAUGCGGCUAGGAUCCAUCUUGAAAGAAUGAGUGUUGCUUCAUGGAUGCAGYCACUUUUGAUAGAAUAUGUGAAUAUAGACUGUUCAAAACUGAAGGCCUGCUGGCUGUGAGUAACCGAUAUCAGAGGGAGGGGCCUGGAACCUACYGCACAUUUCCCAGAAAAAGCCUUUAUUAUAUAGCUACACCUUUUCAAGCAUAUGGAAGGCACAGAUGCUCUGUAAGCAAAAUUUGUCCUGCAGUUCCUUUAUCCUGGUGAGGAUGGAUGAGUUGGAGAAAGUCCAGCCAAAUAUUCAGAGCCCAGACUGAAUUUAUGAGGCUGGCAAUAAGCAGGAAAGGUAAGCUGAAUAUACUUCAUCUAGAGUUACCAAGAAAGUGAGCCCUACUGUUAAUUUAUACAUAACCUUUGUAGAACACAGCUACACCACAUAAAAAAUGGGAAAUUGCAGCAGAGAUGGAAGAUUCUCGUUUCUUUUAAUUCUUGCCACCUUAAAGCUUUUGUCUUCAACAGGAGAUACUGCUGUUAUUGUGCUGAAUAUGAAUGCGUGCUUAAGCAUAAGUGACCCUUUUGAAAAAAGGUUGCAGAUUCUGCUAUAAGAAAAUCUUCUUGUGUUCCUCUCCACCAGAUGCUUAUAUCUGAUCAGUUACACUACUGCAUUUAAACCUAGAAAGUGAUUAGAUGGGGGAAUGGGAACGCAGGAUUGGUAUAUUAAGAAUUAAGAAGGAUUAGUAUAUUAAGAAUUGGAACCAGCACUUUCAGUAUAUCCUAAUAAAGCAUGGGAAGUAACUGCCUCAGAACAAACAGAGCAUAGGAGAUGGGGAUCUUGCAUAUCUAAUGUAUAGCCUGCAUGUUUCCCAUAUGYUGAGGACAACUAUAAAAGUUACAGAAAUGUUCAAUGAUACAUGGAAGAUUUGAUCCUAAAGACUUUGAUAAAAGAAGAUGGCUUGGAAACUGAGGCACCCUCCUAGGUCACUGGUUUAGGCCUAUACCUAUGUAGCAGUAGCUGCAACAUAUCCUUACAUGACUGCAUAUGUAAUCUGAUGAAUCUGCAAUGGAUUAACUGUCACCUUCGACCUCUUUUUUCCAGUGGUCAUGUGGGAGAGGAAGUAGAGUUAAUGCUUUUAUUCCUAUGGCUGUACAACUCAGGGGGAGAUCAGAUCUCACUUUCUUUAUCCAAAUCUAGUGAAGUCCUCUAUGUUUAGGCACCCUGCCUAUUCUUCAGUCACAUGAGAUCUAUAGGCCCUGCUCUGUGCUCACUUCAGGAGCCUGGGAUUAAAAUGGGGACCUGGUUAAUUUUUGAAACUACACAGCAUUUUGCUUAUUUAUUUUAAAAUUCAAAGUCAAGGGUCGUCCUAGGGAAGCUUAUAUAAGCUUUUAUUUGUAAAAAUCUGAAGCUUUCUUUACAAACCUUGUGAGUUCUCUUCAACCCCAUUACUUCACGCUCUGGGAUGAAGAAGUCAAUCUACCUGCUUCUUUUASUUUCUAUGUCUCUAAAUCAGCAUCUCCUCUGGGAAGCUGCUAACAAGCCACUUGCCUCCCCCUUGACCCUUUUUUCUUUACCACACUAGGAAUUUCAUGGUAUAUUUGCAGCAAAUAGAAGAGUUCAGCUACACUUCUCAGCUGAUCAGAUAGGAAGGUGCUCUGAAAGAGGCAGCUUGCCCUGACUGUGCUCCCUUCUCCAGAGUGCUUGUGCAGAAGCUGAUGCACAACUGACCCCAGCAAGCCACAGCAGAAAGUCACAAAGAUAGAAGUGAACCCUGCUGUAAAAGUAAAGAAGGAACAACCCUUCUCCCUUGCAGAGAAAGAGAGAAAAGGGGAGGCAGAGAGARCACACAAUAUUUUCAGCAGCAGCUGGCUGUUAUAUCACACUGGGUAAAUUGUGAAACUGCACUUUGAAAUGACAUCUUCAUGAUGAGUUUAAACUGCUGAAAGGAGUUGUCCUUUCUCCUCCUGUGCAUCACACCAGCUGGAUAUUUCUGCUACCUAAGUAGCACCAGUAYUAACAUUCAUUUAUCUAUCCAGAAACUGGUCCCAUUGAAAAUUAACCCAAGCCUCUACCAGAAAAGAAGUUUCAGUGGAUUCAUUUKGCUAGACAAGCAUCACUGAAGAUCAUGUCAAAUGAUACUUCUGUGGCUGCUGAUGCAUUUUUAAAUGGCCUAAGCAAUCACGAAAUUUCUGGCUGAAAAUAGUUAACUCACCUGAGCUCCCAUGGAGAAUGCAUCCAUCCCCUUGCAAAGCGUUUUCC